GCCCUGAAAUAAAAUAUUUGAGUUUCCAAAUAAUCGCUGUUUCUUUACUUCCAUUUCGUUAAAUAUACCCUGUGUGAUCUUUGUCAAUUUUGACCACGAUUGUAAAGCGCUUUUGUAAUAAUGUGGUAGGUUUUUUAUCUCAAGACCUGAAAGGUUAGAACAUUUACACAGAAAAAGUUCAUCCUCAAAUUUCUUAUCACAUUUUUUUAACCAAAAUUUACCUAUUGCAUUCCAA
rnacentral:lncRNA from 1 species